rnacentral:rRNA from 1 species
UGAGGAAUAUUGGGCAAUGCCCGUAAGGGUGACCCAGCAACGCCGCGUGGAGGAUGAAUGCCGUAAGGUUGUAAACUCCUGUGAGAAGGGACGAAAAAGUGGAUUUAAUCCAAAUUGACUGUACCUUCAGAGGAAACCCCGGCUAACUACGUGCCAGCAGCCGCGGUAAUACGUAGGGGGUUAGCGUUGUCCGGAUUUACUGGGUGUAAAGGGCGCGUAGGCGGGUUUGUUAGUCAGAGGUGAAAUCUCCCGGCUUAACCGGGAAACUGCCUUUGAUACUGCAAAUCUUGAGUUCAGAAGAGAGAGAUGGAAUUCCAGGUGUAGUGGUGAAAUACGUAGAUAUCUGGAAGAACACCAGUGGCGAAGGCGAUCUCUUGGUCUGAUACUGACGCUGAGGCGCGAAAGCGUGGGUAGCAAACA